UAUACUUGCAAGUCGAACGAGAAAGCAUCCUUCGGGAUGUGAGUAAAGUGGCGAACGGGUGAGUAACACGUAGGUAACCUGCCUAUGAGUUGGGGAUAACAUGCCUAACGGCGUGCUAAUACCGAAUGAAGCACUGGGAUUAAUUUUCAGUGUUAAAGAUAUCCUUUGGUUAUCGCUCAUAGAUGGGCCUGCGGCUCAUUAGCUAGUUGGCGGGGUAACGGCCCACCAAGGCAACGAUGGGUAGCCGGCCUGAGAGGGUGGUCGGCCACACUGGGACUGAGAUACGGCCCAGACUCCUACGGGAGGCAGCAGUAAGGAAUAUUGCGCAAUGGUCGCAAGACUGACGCAGCAACGCCGCGUGGAUGAUGACGCUCUAUGGAGUGUAAAGUCCUGUUAGAAGGGAAGAACAGUAUGGAGUUAAAGCUUCAUAUAUGACGGUACCUUCAGAGAAAGCCCCGGCUAACUCCGUGCCAGCAGCCGCGGUAAUACGGGGGGGGCAAGCGUUGUCCGGAAUUAC
rnacentral:rRNA from 1 species